UCACCAGAUCCGUUUGAAUCUAUCACCAGAUCCGUUUGAUGAGCAGAUCUAGGGUUUCAUGAGAUCUAUCACAAGCUUUAUCUAGCAACUUGAUGUCGAAGGCACCAAGGGAUCCACAGAUUUGAACAAGGGAUCCACAGAAUUGCUGGAGAAUGGCCGGAAUCAGGUGAUGUCUGUCCAUGAAUCUCUCUGGAAUCAUGUUUCAGAUGAAGGCUGGCAUGGGAGCCCUUCUUCUAAACAUACUUUCAAAGUAUUCAGAAGGUGAUG